GUCGAACGGUAACAGGUUAAGCUGACGAGUGGCGAACGGGUGAGUAAUGUAUCGGAACGUGCCCAGUCGUGGGGGAUAACUGCUCGAAAGAGCAGCUAAUACCGCAUACGACCUGAGGGUGAAAGCGGGGGAUCGCAAGACCUCGCGCGAUUGGAGCGGCCGAUAUCAGAUUAGGUAGUUGGUGAGGUAAAGGCUCACCAAGCCGACGAUCUGUAGCUGGUCUGAGAGGACGACCAGCCACACUGGGACUGAGACACGGCCCAGACUCCUACGGGAGGCAGCAGUGGGGAAUUUUGGACAAUGGGCGCAAGCCUGAUCCAGCCAUGCCGCGUGCGGGAAGAAGGCCUUCGGGUUGUAAACCGCUUUUGUCAGGGAAGAAAAGGUUCUGGCUAAUACCUGGGACUCAUGACGGUACCUGAAGAAUAAGCACCGGCUAACUACGUGCCAGCAGCCGCGGUAAUACGUAGGGUGCAAGCGUUAAUCGGAAUUACUGGGCGUAAAGCGUGCGCAGGCGGUUAUGCAAGACAGAGGUGAAAUCCCCGGGCUCAACCUGGGAACUGCCUUUGUGACUGCAUGGCUAGAGUACGGUAGAGGGGGAUGGAAUUCCGCGUG
rnacentral:rRNA from 1 species